rnacentral:rRNA from 1 species
UACGUAGGGGGCGAGCGUUGUCCGGAAUCAUUGGGCGUAAAGAGCGUGUAGGCGGGCCGGAAGGUCUGGUGUGAAAGCCCGGGGCUCAACCCCGGAGGGUCACCGGAACCGACGGUCUUGAAUCUGGAAGAGGAGAGUGGAAUUCCUGGUGUAGCGGUGGAAUGCGCAGAUAUCAGGAGGAACACCAAUGGCGAAGGCAGCUCUCUGGUACAUGAUUGACGCUGAGACGCGAAAGCGUGGGGAGCGAACAGG